rnacentral:rRNA from 1 species
AUUGAACGCUGGCGGUAGGCUUAACACAUGCAAGUCGAGCGAGCGGCGGACGUGUGAGUAAUGUCUGGGAAACUGCCUGGGGGAUGAGGAUAAGUAAUGGAAACGGUAGCUGAUACCGCAUACCAUCGGAUGUGCCGGAAUGGGAUUAGCGAGUAGGUGGGGUAAUGGAUCACCUAGGCGACGAUCCCUAGCUGGUCUGAGAGGAUGACCAGCCACACUGGAACUGAGACACGGUCCAGACUCCUACGGGAGGCAGCAGUGGGGAAUAUUGCACAAUGGGCGAAAGCCUGAUGCAGCCAUGCCGCGUGUGUGAAGAAGGUCUUCGGGUUGUAAAGCACUUUCAGCGAGGAGGCGUUACUCGCAGAAGAAGCACCGGCUAACUCCGUGCCAGCAGCCGCGGUAAUAC